ensembl:lncRNA
GUUGAAUGUACCCUUUACCUUUCAUUUUGUGUGUGUGAAUUCCUUUAGAAAAAUUUACUCUAAUAUUUUUUAAUGCAUACAAAUGAUAUAGUCCAACUAUAUAGAAAAAUAUUAAGGAAGAUGGGUACAGAUACAAUACUCAGAUAUAGUUUGGUGCAUCAGGAGUUGUUUUGAAAAAAAAAAUGAGGGACUUCCAACCAGUCCUGUUUUCUGAUGUUCGUCGUCCUACAGCUGAAAAUAUAUCUCCACUUUAGAAAAGGCACCCGGGAGUAAGCAAAGGCCAUGAGGAGCAUGUGGUGGGAUCAGUAAUAUAAUUAGCACUAUUUUCCUGGAGCUAGUGUGUGUGAAAAUUGGGUUAAAGGUAUAGUAUAAAGAGUUUCCUUUUUUUUUUUUCAAGGAAGGUUUAUUUAAAAGCACCAGUUUUAGUUUUUAUUUCCAAUAAAAGAUGAAAGGUUAUUUACUGCAGUUUCAGAUCCAUAUUCUAGGAAACUCUGUCUCGCUUGAGUGGUAACUCCUAAUGGUUUAUUUCUCUGGUAUACUAUAUAUUAAAUGCAUUGCACCUGUUCAUACAGACUGCCUUGCAUUGUGUUUGUGUAGCUGGAUGCCUCAAACAAGAAACCAGGCUGCUUUCUUCUAGGGUACUAGCCUAUUAGCAAGUUAAUUAGACUUAAUUCUGUUUUGUCUUACAGUUUUGUUUAUGGUCUUGGUUUAUUUACUGAACAGUGAUUUCUUCUUUGCAGUUAUCAGUUUUGUCUGAGAUCAGUUUUCCCAUUGUAAGGAGUCUGCUUCUUACAGUCUCCUUUAAGACUGCUCUGACUUUAAAAUCAUUACUAGGCUUUUGUCAGAGCAGAUUUGUUGACAUUUUUCUCACAUUCAAAAAAUAAAUUUGAAAGAUUGCACAAAUAAGCUAUGUAAUUCCUUAUUUCCUGCUAAUAUGCAAAAAUGUAUUUAUGAUAAUUACACACGUACUGUGUGCCAGAGCUGAAACAAUACAUUCCUCAUAAUGGAGCAUAAAUAAAGAAGGUGGAGCCAGCUGCUCUUAAACUGUUUAUUUGCAAGCACUAAUGCUAUAGAGACUAUACCUUUCCACUCUGUUAGUCUGCCCAUACUGAACCUGUUGCUGCAUUAGACGAGUUGCAUUUUCCUGGAUAGGGGAAGGAGGGCUGUCUGCUGUCUGGUAGGAGGGCUUUGUCUGUGCCUUUCUCUCUCUCUGUUUCUGUUUUUCUUUCUCUCUCUCCUUCUCUUUCUCUCUCACUGGCUUGCUUGCUCUGUCUCUGUCUUUCUCUCUCUCUCUGCCCCCCCUUUCCCUCCCUCUCUCUUGCUCUCUCUCUCUCUCUUCCCGUCUCUGUGGUUUGUAAGGUAGGUUGCAGUGUGUGUAUAUACACAACAUCAAGAGCAGGAAAAUGGACUCAUUAGGGAGGCAGGCAGUCAUUACCACUCACACUGUACUUCCAGGGAGACACCGGUUAUGAGAAGAGAGACUCAGCGCUGGGGAAGAAGAUAAAUGAAUGGAGUGUUUGAAUUGCCCUUUGCAACUCUGAAGACUGAAGAGUUCCUGAUGAAUUGCAUGUCUGUUUGUGCCUCAUAGCCGCACAGGCCGAGGUGCUCCAGUAUGCUUUCUCGUUGACCGUUCUGGAGACUUCGGGGCACCACCUGUAUGUAAGACGCCUUUGCUGUGCCUUCUAGGCUUGUAGACUAAUGACCAUGCACUGCAUUCCUGAGGCUGGUGUACUGCAUUGUCACAAAGUGUGUAGCUUAAAACCACAGAAACACAUUCCCUUACGGCUCUCAAGGUCAGAAAUCCACAUGCAGGUGCAGCAAGACCACAUCUGCUGCUGGCUCCGAUGUUCAGAGUUCUCUCUUCAGAGUUCUGUGGCCCAUUUUUUCCUUAGAUUUUGAUACUGUCAUUCUGUGCUCCAUGCAUCUUUAUCUUUACAUCUUCCCCUCUGUGUCUCCUUUUCUUAAAAGGAUACCAAUUAUUGGAUUCAGAUUCCACCCUAAAACGGGAAUGACGUCCUCAUGAUCUUACUGACACCCCAUUUUGUCCUCUCUGAGACAGGCAGUAUGCACCUGUGGAUUAGCACCAUUGCCUUUGAAACUCUAGGGCGAUCUGAUCACUGUAUGUAACAUUUGCUAGGACUUUAUUUUAAGGCCAUAUAUACAAAAUACAUAUUCCUCUAGUGACCAGGACAGGGUUGUGUUUGCAGGAGAGAACUGCAGGGCUUAGCUCAGUUAUAUAGCCAGUGAGUGACUGAGAGAGUUUGAGCAGCACAGAAACUUGUGUUCUUUCUACUUCUCCCAAAUUGAUCCUAAUAAAAGGAGUCAUUGUUUUUUGUUUGUUUGUUUGUUUGUUUGUUUGUUUGUUUUUUUGUUUUUUUUCUUUUUUGGUAAGGAAGUUUUAGAUUACUCUUUGUUUGAAGAUAGUCGAAGACAGCAGAGUUCAGUAUUCCAGGAAUAGUUGGAAAUACUACUGAAGCAUUUGUUAACCCUUCCCACUUCAUAAUCAGAACUUUAAGUCAAGAAUUUUGAAUUAAAAAAUUUAAAACAAUUAGUGAGAUAUUAUAUGAUUAUUACUACAUUAACUAUUGAACAAAAUACCUUACUGGGUGAACUAAUAUUCAGUGAAAGCAUAUUUCUACAGUAGAAAAGAGCUAAGCAUUAGACUUCUUUGCUAGAGGAAAAAAGAUAAAAUGAAAAUUUGAAUUUAUAAAUAUCCAACUCUGAUUUCCACCCAACAUAUUAAUAUAGUAAACAUGCAUUAGUUUAUCUUGUUCUAGAACCAGAGAAAAAUAUUUUGUUUUGCUAUGUUAUAGUUUCUUGUUUUUUUGGGGGGGGACUGAUGAUUGAGUGUAGGGCCUCAUAUACGCACUUUCCCAGUGAGUUCUAUCCCUGGCCUUGCUCCUAGGCUGUUUUGUUGUUGCUGUUGUUAUUUUGUUUAGGUUUUUGUUUAUUUAAGACAAUUAUUCACACUGGUUUUGAUCUUGUCACUUUUCCUCAAGUAGUUGAAAUUUCAGACUUGUCACCAAGUUGCUAGAAUGCAGAUUUAUUUCUGAUGUAGAUCAGGCUUGAUCCCAGGCCUCAGAAUUCUGAAUAAGUAGAGAAAGGUCCCAUGUUUUGUAUCUAAGGUAACAUGGUAACUGGAGUGGGUAUGUGUAGACUACUAAACUAAUAAGAAACAGGUAAAUAGGAUGUAUUCAUAAUGUCAGAGGUAGUAUUCAUGACACCCAGUGGGUAGAAGGAUGGACAAUGGAUGGAGAUGGGGAGUGGAGUCAUGACUAGCAUUUCAGAGGAUAUAGCACCCAAUCUCUGCACAAUGUAAAGGAGCCAGUCAUGGGAAGGACUAGAGAUAGCUGAUGACUGCAGUUUUACAGGCUGCCCUGGCCUGUGUAUUGAGUAUGCGAGUCAGUGUAACCGUGGCAAGGAGGGAAGUCCUGGUAUUAAUUUGUCUGUAAUUAAUCAUUCUUCAAUCAUUUCUUUCUCCUAAUACACAAGAUAUAUUAAUUUUUAUUUUAUGCGUUUGGGUGCCUUGCCUGCAUGUACAGGCUCUAUGGGCUGUGUCAGAGGAGGCUGGGUGAGUCCUGGUAUCAAAGGAAGAGCAGCCAGAGCUCUUAGCUGCUGAGCCAUGUCGCCAGCCUGAUCAAUUACCUGAAAGUAAUAUUAUCACCUUGUCUUCUUUUUCUGCAUAUAAAGACUGAAAGUAGAUAGAAGGUUGAUCUAUAGGAUCUAUAAAGGAAUAGUCAUAGGUGUUUUAUUUUUACUGUUCAUCUCAUGAUAGCCUACAAUUUAGCGCAGAAUUGUUUAUGAACUUAUAGUUAUCCCCCCAGGGAGGUUGAACGGAACUUACUCUCACCUACAGUUUUGUCCUGAAAGAAAAAUUUCUACAAAUGCUUCAUUCACAAUUAAAUUAUUACUAUAUAAGAAGAUAAAAGUAUUUGGUGAGAACCUGAUGGCAGGAUAUUGUUCCCUGAGUUUCACAUCUAUAAUCAAUGCUGUGUGCACCUCAUUAUUGGCUCAGUGAACAACAUGACGUGGGAAUGUGGGACCAGACAGAGGGAAGGAGCACGUCUGCGGUGAAAAUGUAGCAGAGGGAUAAAACCAGCCCACAGACUGCUAAGUGUGUAGAUAUCAAGAUAUAUCAUUUUUACUCAAGAAACUAAAACACACUCAGUGUAAUCUUGAAGAGGCGAAAAAUAUCCCAGUUUGCAAAAUAAACUGUCCUGUGUUUAAUAUCAGCAUUGUUAUUGGUUAAAAAUUAACCUUACUAAGGAAAUUCUUAUAACUCUUUCUAUCUCCAUUAUAAAAUCUGAAAUGAAGGAGUGUACUACUUGGCUUUCCAGAAAUACAAUAAUACAUAAUUUACAAUACAUAAAAAUUACCAUCCAACUUGUUCCUGAGAUAAGAGCCUGUAAAGAAGAUCUGCCCAUACAUCUAGAGUGUUAAGUCACCAUGGACAAAGGCUGUUACUAUAUUGAGGACUCAAUAUAUGAAAAACAAAAUAGAGGGUGGUUCUUAUGAGUUGGAAACAUGUCCUCUUGUAGACUAUGGCUUUUAAAUGACUGCUGGUGAAAAUACAUACAUGGCUUUCAGACUAACUUUGACACUUCCUGCCUCCCUGAAAUGCAUGUAUGUGAGCAUGUAUCAGCGCACAGUAAGAGUUGAGCUGUAUCCGUGGGCUGGCAGGCCGUGCAGAGUACAGCACACGCCCUUCACAUCAAUCCUGCUUGGCAAGUCUCACCACCUUGGCAGAGCUGAACUGAGACCUAGAAGCACUGCUCAUGCAGGCAGCAAUGUAGCAUUUAAAAUAAUAUUUAAUUUAUUCAGUUUGCCACAUUUUUCAGCAGCUACAUUAUUUGCUUUUGUUACAAAAACAUGGUUACAGUCUGCACACAAAACACUAAAUAGAUACUUGUUCAUUUCAGGAGAUCUAGAUACUCAAAAUUGAUAUUUAAAUUUUUCAAUGUAUUUUUCUACCAUCUGUAUCAGAUUGUGAGCUGCUAAAAGCAGAAACUGAAGAGCUCUUAGGUAACUUACAGAGUAUCUUAUCAGCUAAUCCAGUUGUUCUACAAGAGAGGGAAUGGCCACAGCAAACUGAAGGCCUCUCUGGAGGGAGACAGGUAUGCUGUGAGAAGUUCCACAGUGCAUUGAUCUCUUACAGAGGGGUUCCUUCAAUUUCAUCAGGGCACUAAACAAUGUUGCUCACUCCUAUUUUCUAAGUGUUUGAAAGGUUGGGGGAUUCAUGAAAGUAUGUAGAGAAAAUAAUGGCUUUAUCAACUUACCUUACUCAUCAAAGCGUGCAGUUCAUCUAGCAAUCUACAUAACUGAACUUUAAAAUCAAAUGGAGUCAGUGUUCAAAUACUUUGCUAUUUGUUUCUAAAAUUUUACCUUCAAAAGUAUUGUUCUAAGGCUGGCUUUAGUGGCGUGGGCCUUCAAUUCUAGCACUGGAGAGGCAGAGGCAGAGGCAGAGGCAGGCAGACUUCAGUGGGCUCAAGGCAAGUCUUGUCUAUACAGAGCAAGUUACCAGAUAUCCAGAGUUACAAGGCGAGAUCCUGUUAAAAAGCAAAUACAUAAACAAAUAAAUAAAAAACAGGCACUCUAGAGCUAAAAAAACUAUGAAAAAACCCGUAAAUCAUAAAAACAUCGUUGUGUUGUGCCUAUAAACAAUACAUUCCUAGUUUCCUACAGUCGCAGUAGUAUAAAGUAUUAGCAGUCUUUUAUCUUACUGGAAGAAUGAAAAUUAUAUUUCAUCAUUGUCUUAUGUCCAGUUUAUAUCAGAUUUCACGAUAUUUUUAAAAGUUCAUUGCAUAUUUAGAUUUUUUCCUAUUAUCUGUUAAAUGAUUUAUAUUUUUCCUUGUUUUCGUUUUUUUUUCCAAAAAGCUUUUUGUGUGUUAUUGAAAGUUAAGUUUGCCUGAGUAAUGCAGAGAGCUGGCGAGGUGCUCUUCCCUCAGGAAGAGCACACCAGUUGGUUGUCCAGUGUCAAAAUUUUAAGCCUGAAAGUACACAUGCAAGUAACAUUCUGUGGACUCCAUAGUUUAUAUUUAGCAAUAUAUAUGCUAUAUAUAUGCAAUAUACAUACGCAUAUAUGCAUGCAAUACAAUAAGAGAGGCCAUGAGUUUAAGAGAAAAAGAGAAUGGGUGUGUGUGUGUGUGUGUGUGUGUGUGUGUGUGUGUGUGUGUGUCUUGCUAUGUGUGUUGGAGGGAGGAAAGUGAAGGGAAAUGAGCGUUGUAAUUAAAUUACAAUCUCAUUUUUUUAAGUACAUAGAAAAAGUGAUCUUUGUGUUCAUACUUUUCGUUAUUAAUUUCUUUUUGCCCUAUAGUAUUUUUAUACAUUUGUACUCACUGCUCAUUUACUUUGUGACUUAGAACUCAAGUGUAGAGAACUUAGUUAUAUUUUCUUGUAACAUAUUUGUGGUGCAAUCUUUUAGUUAAUAUUUAUGUUUUGAUUUUCCUAAAUUUUACAUUCUAUGUACUUUCAAAAUGCAUUAACUCUUGUUUUUGAAUAAAAGUAGCAGUUUUAUUUUUCACUUGAAAUGAAAAAAAAAGCUCCCAUUUUUUCCCCAUAAACUUCUUAGGAAGAAAGAGCACAGAGGCAGAAGAAAAUACAGUAUUAUACUGAGAAUUGAAAUGUCAGAAUUGACAUGGGUUUAGCAGUCACUGAUGUCUACUGUUCGUGACACAGGACUUCCCAAGAAAUUCUCUCCUUUACAAGAAUAAAUUAUUAUAUUUUGAUUGUCUAAGCAAUGAUUAAAUCAGUGAAAGCAUCAUAGAAUAAAUCAAACCCCUAGUGAGAUACUUUUAACAGCAAAUACAGUUCAUAUGGUAAUGUUAAUUUCACUUACUUAAGAAAAGCACUUAUCAGUAAGACCCUAUAACUGAACAAAUGAAAUAAAAAUUUGAACAUUGUAAUUUAUUACGAGAUGAAAUAACCAGGUGAUAAAUAAAUUUAUUUGUGUCUUGAAAAGUUGGCUUCAUGUAGUCAUUAUUAAAAGGCAAUCUUUUCAUAUGAUUUUGUUUAGCUUUAAAGGGAGCUUAGGCUAAGAAUUCUAAUAGCUGGUGUCUUUACAAUGUUUUAUGAAAAAGCAGUUACAAAGCAUAAUGUUUAGCAAUAAAAAGAACCUUAUCCGGCUUACCAUGUGUUUCUGACGGUUUGAUGACAGGAGGGGUAAAGGCUGUGUCAUGCAAUCAGUCAUGUCACUAAUUCUUCUUCUACUUUCAACUUAACUUUUUAUUAUUUUUGAGUAUAUGAGUGCUUUGCCUACAUGUACAGCUGUGUACCAUGUGCGUGUCCAGUACCCACAGAGAUCAGUAAGGGAUGUUGGUCCCCUGGACUUGGCAUUGUGAAUAACUGUGAGCUGUUAUGUGGGUAAUGGGAAUUGAUCUUUAGUCUUCUGAGAACACAGCCACUGCUCUUCAUUUCUGUGCUACCUCCUUAGCUCUAUUUUUAAUAUUAUUCAAUCAUAUGUAAACAUUAAUCAUAUAUUUUUAUAUUCUAGCCAUAACAAAUUCAGUGUAAAACUAUUUGGGAAAUUCAAAAAGCAAGAAUAUAGACAGUAAAGGUAUCUUUCAUACAAUUAUUACUAUUAGAGGAAAGUUAUUAAUAUAUUGGCAUCUAUUUUCAAAACAAUGGGCCAUUGCUCAAAAUAUAUAAUUUAUAGGUCGUGAUUUUUGUUAGCUAGUAAUAUAAUCCAAUCAUGUUUUUUGUUAUUACAUAAUUUUUCAUGGUGUAUUUAAGUAUUCCAUAAAUGUAACCUAUACCAUCUUGAUAAUUGCUUGGUUGUACACAUGCAAAUUAGUUACUUCCAAUCUUUCUAUAUUGAAAAUAGAAGAAUAUCUUAGUAUAGAUACAUUAAUGGACACCCCUGAUAAAUGAAUGGAAAGCUAUGAAUUUUUCAGCCUCUGAUGCAUUUAGAAAGGCCAUUGUGUGCAUGCACACAUUGAUGACUGCUCAGUACCAGCCCUCUUUAAGGGGUGCAGUCUUCUCAUAUCACUAUUGGCUGUGGGCAGAAAGCACUCAAUGGUCUGAGGAAAGAGGGUAGAAAGUGGCCAGAAGAGAGGUCAAUAAAGGUAAUAUUUUUGUUUCAAGACUUGUUACAUGCUGCAAAAGGCUGUAAAAUAAGUACGGCUUUCUUCAAAGCAAACUUGUGUGUGUAUGUGUGUGUGCGUGAGAGAGAGUGUGUGUGUAUGUGUGUGUGUGUG